CCUACGGGUGGCAGCAGUGAGGAAUAUUGCACAAUGGGGGAAACGCUGAUGCAGCGACGUCGCGUGAGUGAAGAAGUAUUUCGGUAUGUUAAGCUCUAUCAGCCGGGAAGCAAAGGGCGGUACCUGAUUCAGAAGCCCCGUCUAACUACGAGCCAGCAGCCGGAGUGAUACGUAGGGGGCAAACGUUAUCCGGAUUUACUGGGUGUAAAGGGAGCUUAGACGGCAGAACGAGUCCGGAGGGAAAUGCCGGGGCUUAAACCCGGAACUGCUUUGGAAACUGUGCAGCUAGAGUGAAGGAGAGGUAAGUGGAAUUCCUAGUGUAGCGGUGAAAUGCGUAGAUAUUAGGAAGAACCCCAGUGGCGAAGGCAGCUUACUGGACUGUAACUGACGUUGAGGCUCGAAAGCGUGGGGAGCAAACAGGAUUAGAUACCCGAGUAGUC
rnacentral:rRNA from 1 species